rnacentral:rRNA from 1 species
GAUGAACGCUGGCGGCGUGCUUAACACAUGCAAGUCGAACGAAGCACUUUAUUUGAUUUCCUUCGGGACUGAUUAUUUUGUGACUGAGUGGCGGACGGGUGAGUAACGCGUGGGUAACCUGCCUUGUACAGGGGGAUAACAGUUGGAAACGGCUGCUAAUACCGCAUAAGCGCACAGCAUCGCAUGAUGCAGUGUGAAAAACUCCGGUGGUAUAAGAUGGACCCGCGUUGGAUUAGCUAGUUGGUGAGGUAACGGCCCACCAAGGCGACGAUCCAUAGCCGAGCAGAGAGGGUGACCGGCCACAUUUGGACUGAGACACGGCCCAAACUCCUACGGGAGGCAGCAGUGGGGAAUAUUGCACAAUGGGCGAAAGCCUGAUGCAGCGACGCCGCGUGAGCGAAGAAGUAUUUCGGGAUGUAAAGCUCUAUCAGCAGGGAAGAUAAUGACGGUACCUGACUAAGAAGCACCGGCUAAAUACGUG